rnacentral:rRNA from 1 species
GGGUUGUGAGGUUAAGCGACUAAGCGUACACGGUGGAUGCCCUGGCAGUCAGAGGCGAUGAAGGACGUGCUAAUCUGCGAUAAGCGCCGGUAAGGUGAUAUGAACCGUUAUAACCGGCGAUUUCCGAAUGGGGAAACCCAGUGUGACUCGUCACACUAUCAUUAACUGAAUCCAUAGGUUAAUGAGGCGAACCGGGGGAACUGAAACAUCUAAGUACCCCGAGGAAAAGAAAUCAACCGAGAUUCCCCCAGUAGCGGCGAGCGAACGGGGAGGAGCCCAGAGCCUGAAUCAGCAUGUGUGUUAGUGGAAGCGUCUGGAAAGGCGCGCGAUACAGGGUGACAGCCCCGUACACAAAAGCGCAUGUGCUGUGAGCUCGAUGAGUAGGGCGGGACACGUGGUAUCCUGUCUGAAUAUGGGGGGACCAUCCUCCAAGGCUAAAUACUCCUGACUGACCGAUAGUGAACCAGUACCGUGAGGGAAAGGCGAAAAGAACCCCGGCGAGGGGAGUGAAAAAGAACCUGAAACCGUGUACGUACAAGCAGUGGGAGCACCCUUUUGGGUGUGACUGCGUACCUUUUGUAUAAUGGGUCAGCGACUUAUAUUCUGUAGCAAGGUUAACCGAAUAGGGGAGCCGCAGGGAAACCGAGUCUUAACCGGGCGUUAAGUUGCAGGGUAUAGACCCGAAACCCGGUGAUCUAGCCAUGGGCAGGUUGAAGGUUGGGUAACACUAACUGGAGGACCGAACCGACUAAUGUUGAAAAAUUAGCGGAUGACCUGUGGCU